CCUACGGGUGGCAGCAGUGAGGAAUAUUGGUCAAUGGGCGAGAGCCUGAACCAGCCAAGCCGCGUGAAGGUCAGUGCACUAUGGGCGUUAAACUUCUUUUGUGCGGAAGCAAUAAUGGUCACGUGUGGCCAGACGAGAGUACCGUACGAAUAAGCAUCGGCUAACUCCGUGCCAGCAGCCGCGGUAAUACGGGGGAUGCAAGCGUUAUCCGGAUUUAUUGGGUUUAAAGGGUGCGUAGGCUGUGAGGUAAGUCAGCGGUGAAAUGCCCCCGCUCAACGGGGUGAAGUGCCAUUGAUACUGCCUGGCUGGAAUGCGGAUGCCGUGGGAGGAAUGUGUGGUGUAGCGGUGAAAUGCAUAGAUAUCACACAGAACACCGAUUGCGAAGGCAUCUCACGAAGCCGCGAUUGACGCUGAUGCACGAAAGCGUGGGUAUCAAACAGGAUUAGAUACCCGAGUAGUC
rnacentral:rRNA from 1 species